GACAGAGGGUGCAAACGUUGCUCGGAAUCACUGGGCGUAAAGGGCGUGUAGGCGGGACAGUAAGUCGGGCGUGAAAUCCCUGGGCUCAACCCAGGAACUGCACUCGAAACUACUAUUCUUGAGUGUCGGAGAGGAAAGCGGAAUUCCUGGUGUAGAGGUGAAAUUCGUAGAUAUCAGGAGGAACACCAGUGGCGAAGGCGGCUUUCUGGACGAUAACUGACGCUGAGACGCGAAAAGCGUGGGGAGCCAAACAGG
rnacentral:rRNA from 1 species